rnacentral:rRNA from 1 species
GACGAACGCUGGCGGCGUGCUUAACACAUGCAAGUCGAACGGAAAGGCCCUGCUUUUGUGGGGUUCUCGAGUGGCGAACGUGUGAGUAACACGUGAGUCACCUGCCCUUGACUUUGGGAUAACUUCAGGAAACUGGUGCUAAUACCUGAUAGGAGCUCCUGCUGCAUGGUGGUGUUUGGAAAGUUUCGGCGGGUGGGGAUGUACUCGCGGGUUAUCAGCUUGUUGGUGGGGUAGUGGCUUACCAAGGCUUUGACGGGUAGCCGGCCUGAGAGGGUGACCGGCCACAUUGGGACUGAGAGACGGCGCAGACUCCUACGGGAGGCAGUAGGGGGGAAUAUUGCACAAUGGGCGGAAGCCUGAUGCAGAAAUGCCGCGAGCGGGAUGAAGGCCUUGGGGUGGUAAACCGCAGUAGCCUGUGACGAAGCGUGAGUGACGGUAAUGGGUAAAGAAGCACCGGCUAACUACGUG